GAGUUUGAUCCUGGCUCAGAGCGAACGCUGGCGGCAGGCCUAAUACAUGCAAGUCGAACGGUAGCAGGAAGAAGCUUGCUUCUUUGCCGACGAGUGGCGGACGGGUGAGUAAUGUCUGGGGAUCUGCCCGAUGGCGGGGGAUAACCACUGGAAACGGUGGCUAAUACCGCAUAACGUCGCAAGACCAAAGUGGGGGACCUUCGGGCCUCACACCAUCGGAUGAACCCAGAUGGGAUUAGCUAGUAGGUGGGGUAACGGCUCACCUAGGCGACGAUCCCUAGCUGGUCUGAGAGGAUGACCAGCCACACUGGAACUGAGACACGGUCCAGACUCCUACGGGAGGCAGCAGUGGGGAAUAUUGCACAAUGGGCGCAAGCCUGAUGCAGCCAUGCCGCGUGUAUGAAGAAGGCC
rnacentral:rRNA from 1 species